GCCGCCCAAAGUGCUGGGAUUACAGACGUGAGCCACCGCGCCUGGCCUGGCGAUAGGGUCUUUAAAGAGGUAACUAAGUUACAAUGAGGUCGUGAGGGUAGGUCCUAAUCCAACAUGAUGGGUGUCUUUACAGGAAGAGGACAUUUGACCACAGACAGCUGUGAAGGGAGAACUCCAUGUGAGCGUGUAGGCCUGCACGCCGAGGAGGGGCCUGGAACUGAUCCAUCCUUCACAGCCUCGGCAGGAACCGACCUGCUGGCACCUUGAUCUCAAAUUCCCGCAUCCAGAACCGGGCGACAAGGCAUUUCUGUUGCUGCAGCCACCCAGGCUGCGGCACUUUGCUAUGGCAGCGCUCGUGAAAGAAUGCAGUCACUUUUAUUUCCAAGGGAAGCAGAGUUAAAUGAGCCCCCUUAAGAGAUCUUCCUGCAAUGUUUGGGACGUGUCUGUGUGUGCGUGGACAGGGCCGUCUGCAGGCGGAUCAGCGUGCGGCGCGGGCAGCCACCUCUGUGUCCUAAGCGCAGACAUCCGGUGUCACCCUUCAGGCAUCCAGGGAAGGAAGCUGAUAAAAUGAAGCUCUUCAUGCUCCAGGUUCCGUUUCUUCUUUGGAAUGCUCGAAGGCUUCCCAGCUAUUCCAUGUUCAGGCCUGGUUUUCAAGAGGCUGCAGGCCGGAGUGGGGAAGGUGGCUGAAGCCGGUCCUGGGUCUCUCCGAGCCCCUCAGAGAACUCUCUGGUUGCACUAGAAACCAUCCUUGUGCUGCUGGCAGCAGUUUCCAUGCCGCUGAAAAAUGGCGGCAAAGCCCAAGUGGAGAAGGAGGGUUCGGUAUGCGUGGCUUCCAACCCAAAAGAACAGAAAGCCAGGGCCCUCAUUCCGCCCUGAACUGUGAUCCGCACGGUUCACCAGGAGCACAGCCCUUGUGUUCCUCGCUGCCUCCCCCUGAAGGCGCUGGAGGCCGCAUGACGUUGCCUGCCACUGUGGGGGUGACACGCUCCCCUGGCCCCGGCCUGGACGGGCCCUGACAGGUGCAGUGGGAGAACAAAGCGUCAUUCUGAGGGUGAAGUUACCAGGACCGUCAGCCUGAGGAGAAUCAGCUCUUCCGCACCAAAUCCUGAAGAUCACAUGGCAGAGUGAGCUGGAGUGAGACAGGGUCUUGCUCCAUUGUCCAGCUAGAGUGCAGUGGCAAGAUGAUGGCUCACUACAGCCUCCAUCUCUUGGGCUUAAGAGCCCUCCCCCAUGGCUCAGCCUGCCCUGAGGCCAGUCCUCGUACAUGGGGCAUGGCUGCCUUCAAGACAUCUCCAAGGAGCCCUCGCUGAGAAGCCCCCUGGUGCACACACAAAAUCACGUUGCUAUUUAGUUGAAUUUCUUCAUUGUACAGGUUAAGAAAUGGAAGAUGUGACUCUCAAGGAUUAUACACAACUAAAACUGUGUGAAACGGCGAUCAGUACCCGGGCAACAGGGAAGUGGGAAUUUCUCACCAACCCACGUGCCAGGAUCCAGCCUCAACGCUUGUGAGGAUCCAGCCUCAACGCUCUGCACAUCUCCAGUGUGAAACAGCACCAUGUGCCUAAUGAGUUCUUCUCUGACUGAUUGAUUGAUUGAUUACUAAAACACUCAGCACUCCUGGCAAAGCAGUUCUCACACUGUUGAACAAAUUAUCUUUAUGCACUGCAGUCUCUUGAGCUUAGAUGAAGGCAAACUCACUGUAAUCUUCAGAUCAUUUAACAAUGCCUUGGAAUCACUGGAUAUGAGAAAAUAUCCAGGCAUGUGGAAUACGAAGGGGGAAGAAAAGCAGGACUUGGAGGGACUGUGCUAGUGGAUUUCAACUCUAUAUUUUCUAAAAUGAACCAGGGGCAGGCAAACUACUACCUUGUAGGCCAAAUCUGGCCAGUGACCUGUUCUAUCAUUGAUUGAUUGAUUGACGGGGUCUUGUCUUGCUCUGUCACCCAGGCUG